CGAACGGGUGAGUAAUGCGUGACCAACCUGCCCCAUGCUCCAGAAUAGCUCUUGGAAACGGGUGGUAAUGCUGGAUGCUCCAACUUGACGCAUGUCUUGUUGGGAAAGUGUCUAGUGGCAUGGGAUGGGGUCGCGUCCUAUCAGCUUGUAGGCGGGGUAAUGGCCCACCUAGGCUUCGACGGGUAGCCGGCCUGAGAGGGCGGACGGCCACAUUGGGACUGAGAUACGGCCCAGACUCCUACGGGAGGCAGCAGCC
rnacentral:rRNA from 1 species